rnacentral:rRNA from 1 species
GCAUAACGCGAAGAACCUUACCAGGUCUUGACAUCCUUUUGACCGGUCCCUAACCGGACCUUCUCUUCGGAGCAAAAGUGACAGGUGGUGCAUGGUUGUCGUCAGCUCGUGUCGUGAGAUGUUGGGUUAAGUCCCGCAACGAGCGCAACCCCUAUCUUUAGUAGCCAGCAGUUCGGCUGGGCACUCUAGAGAGACUGCCAGGGAUAACCUGGAGGAAGGUGGGGAUGACGUCAAAUCAUCAUGCCCCUUAUGAUCUGGGCUACACACGUGCUACAAUGGUGACAACAAAGGGAAGCAGCCUCGUGAGAGUGAGCAAAAUCCCAAAAAAGUCAUCUCAGUUCGGAUUGUAGUCUGCAACUCGACUACAUGAAGCUGGAAUCGCUAGUAAUCGCGAAUCAGAAUGUCGCGGUGAAUACGUUCCCGGGUCUUGUACACACCG